GAAAAAAAAGGGGGAGACGGAAAAGGAGUGUAUAAGAUAGAUUAGUUAGAAGUAUAAAAAAAAGUGGAGAACAAAAUAAAAUCAGGGAGAGAUUGUUUUACUCGAAGAAAUAUUUUAAUUGGAUUGAGUAUUGUAGAUCACAAUCAAAGCUCGAUUAGAUUAUCCGACAUAAUCAGAUUUUUUCAAAGCAUAUGAUUAAAGAGUAUCUGUGACAGUCUUGUCCUGGAUCUGAAAAAAAAAAUAUAGAGGGACCUUCGAGUCAUAGAGGGACCUAUGAGUCCAAUUACAGAGGGACCUUCGGGUCAUAGAGGGACCAAUGAGUCCAAUUACAUUCGGGUCAAAUACAGAGGGACCAAUGAGUCCAAUUACAGAGGGACCUUCGGGUCAUAGAGGAAUCCCGGGCAGAUUUCAGGCUUGAUUUGUCACAGAAUAAUAAAUUCAAUAGAGAGGCAUAUGCAUCGAGAUAUGAAAUUGUUGAUUGAGAUAUGGAAUUGUUGAUUGGUGAUAUUUAAUGUUUAUGGUUAUAUGGAUUGAAUUAGAAAUUUUUGUAAUUAUAGUAUGUGGAUGGUGAUGCAAUUAAUAUAUGCAUAUGGAUAUGAAAUUGUGUAUGAUUAUAUGGUUA